rnacentral:misc_RNA from 1 species
GAUGAAGAACGUAGCGAAAUGCGAUAAGUAAUGUGAAUUGCAGAAUUCAGUGAAUCAUCGAAUCUUUGAACGCACAUUGCGCCCUCUGGUAUUCCGGGGGGCAUGCCUGUUCGAGCGUCAUUAUAACCACUCAAGCUCUCGCUUGGUAUUGGGGUUCGCGGUUUCGCGGCCCCUAAAAUCAGUGGCGGUGCCUGUCGGCUCUACGCGUAGUAAUACUUCUCGCAAUUGAGUUCGAUAGGUCUACUUGCCAGUAACCCCCAAUUUUUACAGGUUGACCUCGGAUCAGGUAGGGAUACCCGCUGAACUUAAGCAUAUCAAUAAGCGGAGGA